UGCGGGGUGGCGCAGUUGGCAGCCCGUCGGGCUCAUAACCCGAAGGUCAUAGGUUCAAGUCCUAUCCCCGCGACCA
rnacentral:tRNA from 1 species